UUGUCUCUGGUCAGUUGAUGUCAUUGUUCCAUUGGUUUGUUACUCUUUUUUUCAGAUUAAAGCAUUGGAUUUGUAGCUUCCCUUGGACUAAACAAGUACUAAUCUUCAGAAUUCUAUGUUCUUUUACCUGCUAAUCUUUUUGUACUCCUUUAACUUUCUUAUAUUCAAAUCAUACUUUCAUUAUUUCUUGCAGUAUAAGUUCAAAAUUAUGGCAUGAGACAUGGGGAUGCAAUUAAACUCAAUGGAGAAGGAAACCUGGAAAGGGAUGAACAGAGUAAUUAGUCUGUGUGAUGCCAUUAACCUUGACAAUAAUGAACUUAUGGGACUUGGAAUGAUACUAGAUGAAGAGGUCAGUUUAUUGGUAAAUUGUAUGAUCUGCAAAUAGUACAUGAUACUAUGAGUUAUAUAGUAGCUAUUAUAAAUCUAGAGGUAUCUUCUCAGUGCAUUAUAUAACACUAUAUUGGCUUAGUUGCGUGUGUAACUGUGUGAUGUUAUUAAUUCGUGCAAGUAUCAUUCAAUCCAAAAUUGGCUUGACCGCCGUUGCAGCUGGCCAUCGUCGUGAUGGUGGGUUCAUAACGCUGCUGCUUCUUAGGUGGAACGUCGUCGCUUCACGGCUGGUCGAAAUGCAGCGCCAAUGCAAAGGCAGGUUUAGCCAGCCCUGAAGUUCUGCAUCUAUGCGUACAUGUGAUGGCUUUCUAGGGCGUCACGUACAUAUAUGGUUUCCAGGUCAGAGUCUAUUGUUUUGAUUUUUUGUUUUUCCUUUUUAUGUUUUCCCAUUGUACUGAUUUUGAGUUUAUUUGAUACGAAUUAUAUGGUUAAUUUAGGUGAACAAAAUAUUUUGUUUGGUUUUCAGGCAAGUCAAUUCAGUUCGUUUUGAACAAAUGGAUUGUAUCUCUCAAACGGAAGGCAUGGAUUCCAUGGGCUCAAGGAGCUUUUUGCAUCAAUAUAAUUUUCCUCAUGUGUAUGAGAUUCGUUUUUGGUUUACUGUUGAAUCAACUGUGGCUUUUCCUUGGAUUCAGAUUAUAUUUUUACUCUAUCGUGUCCUCUGAUAGCGUUGUGCUCUCCACGGAUUGGAUCUGAAUCAUCUCACGUACAGGUUUUGGAUGCCUCAUGGAGAUCAGAUCGGAGGACACCAACUAUACCCAUACUCCACGAUCUUUUCCUCUUGAUUAUCUCUCUUUCCCCCAAUGUAAAAUGAAUGGAUCAAAUAGAAGACAUGGAUUCCGUGUGGUCGAGGAGCUUUAUGCAUCAAAAUAAUUUUCCUCAUCUACAUCAGGUUCGUACUUUCACACAGUCUAUUCUGAAUUUCGUUUUUGCAGGUCUAUGCUUGGAUCAACCGUUGCUUUUCCUUUUGAUUCAGAUUCAAUUUUUUCCCAUGUCCUCUCUUAGUUUGUUUCUCUUGAUGUAUUGGAUCCUUUAUCUUCUCAGGUACAAUUUUGGAUUCCACAUGGAGAUCAUGUCGGGGCACACCAACUAUACCCAUUGUUACUGCUCAAGAAUCUCCCACUAUGUACGAAGGUUGUCUCUGGUCAGUUGAUGUCAUUGUUCCAUUGGUUUGUUACUCUUUUUUUCAGAUUAAAGCAUUGGAUUUGUAGCUUCCCUUGGACUAAACAAGUACUAAUCUUCAGAAUUCUGUGUUCUUUUACCUGCUAAUCUUUUUGUACUCCUUUAACUUUGUUAUAUUCAAAUCAUACUUUCAUUAUUUCUUGCAGUAUAAGUUCAAAAUUAUGGCGUGAGACAUGGGGAUGCAAUUAAACUCAAUGGAGAAGGAAACCUGGAAAGGGAUGAACAGAGUAAUUAGUCUGUGUGAUGCCAUUAACCUUGACAACAAUGAACUUAUGGGACUUGGAAUGAUACUAGAUGAAGAGGUCAGUUUAUUGGUAAAUUUUAUGAUCUGCAAAUAGUAGAUGAUACUAUGAGUUAUAUAGUAGCUAUUAUAAAUCUAGAGGUAUCUUCUCAGUGCAUUAUAUAACACUAUAUUGGCUUAGCUGCGUGUGUAACUGUAUGAUGUUAUUAAUUCGUGCAAGUAUCAUUCAAUCCAAAAUUGGCUUGACCGCCGUUGCAGUUGGCCACCGUCGUGAUGGUGGGUUCAUAACGCUGCUACUUCUUGGGUGGAACGUCGUCGCUUCACGGCUGGUCGAAAUACAGCGCCAAUGCAAAGGCAGGUUUAGCCAGCCCUGAAGUUCUGCAUCUAUGCAUACAUGUGAUGGCUUUCUAGGGCGUCACGUACAUAUAUGGUUUCUAGAUCAGAGUCUAUUGUUUUGAUUUUUUGUUUUUCCUUUUUAUGUUUUCCCAUUGUACUGAUUUUGAGUUUAUUUGAUACGAAUUAUAUGGUUAAUUUAGGUGAACAGAAUAUUUUGUUUGGUUUUCAGGCAAGUCAAUUCAGUUCGUUUUGAGUAAGUCUUCAACACUGACUGUUUCGCAUUUUCUACUUAUAUGUGGAUUGUGUUUCUCACAUUCGGUGCUAUGUUUGAAUCUUUCAUAAUUUUGUGUUUCUUUAAGAGUUCCAACAGAUUCAUUUUUUGUUUCACGUUCUAACCGUCAAUGUGCACUUGAUUUUUGCUCUCCAGGGUUAUAAUUUGAAUUAUGUUGUUCUCCAUGUUUCCAGUUAUUUCUUUGAAGGGAGGUCAAUCGAUUGGUGAGGUCAUCAACGGCUGUCUAUGGUUGUCUCUAGGUAUCAAAAAUUAUUUCUCGGGCUAUUGUGGACACAGGUUAUUGUCUGCAACUACUCAUGUUACAGGCAAUGCUGCCAGAAAAUGUUCUAAUGUCAUGGACACUGUUCACAUGCAGCUGUAGAAUUUAUGUCUAAGGACCUUAUCCACACAAGGAUACUAUUGAACCUUCUUUGACAGUUGGAGACUGAGAUCGAGCAGAAGUAUGGCAACCAUGUCGUGUGGAAAAGGGCCCAUGAACUAGCAUGUCAUCAUGUCACCGUGUCAGACAAUACAUUGCGUAAUGCAUGAGAGGCUCAUAUUAAGCUUGGCCAUCUUCUCUUGAUUUUUUUUCAAUCAGAUUGUCGUACUAGGGAAUUUGCACUGCUUACAAGUAAGGAUCGGCCUUCACCUCACUCUAUGCAUUGUAACAUUGUUAUUUAAUUUAGGUUAAAGUUAUGAUAAAUGCAUGCCUGAUUUAGAGAUGAGAUGACUACUUUAAGUUCGGUUCAAG
rnacentral:lncRNA from 1 species